UACAGAGGUCUCAAGCGUUGUUCGGAUUCAUUGGGCGUAAAGCGCACGUAGGCGGCUUCGCAAGUCGGAUGUGAAAUCCCGUGGCUCAACCAUGGACGUGCAUUCGAAACUGCGAAGCUUGAGUAUGGAAGAGGGUCGCGGAAUUCCCGGUGUAGAGGUGAAAUUCGUAGAUAUCGGGAGGAACACCAGUGGCGAAGGCGGCGACCUGGGCCAAUACUGACGCUGAGGUGCGAAAGCGUGGGGAGCAAACAGG
rnacentral:rRNA from 1 species